rnacentral:tRNA from 1 species
GACUUCUUAUCUUAUUAAAAGAAUUUAUUUUGAAAAUAAAAGAAAAAAGAGUUA